rnacentral:rRNA from 1 species
AUACGGAGGGUGCAAGCGUUACUCGGAAUCACUGGGCGUAAAGCGCGCGCAGGCGGUUUGGUAAGUCAGAUGUGAAAGCCCACGGCUCAACCGUGGAAGUGCAUUUGAAACUGUCAGACUUGAGUACUAGAGGGGAAAGUGGAAUUCCCGGUGUAGAGGUGAAAUUCGUAGAUAUCGGGAGGAAUACCGGUGGCGAAGGCGACUUUCUGGCUAGAUACUGACGCUGAGGCGCGAAAGCGUGGGGAGCAAACAGGAUUAGAAACCCUAGUAGUCC